rnacentral:misc_RNA from 1 species
AAACUCGAAAAGAAGCGAAUCAAGAAACGCAAUGGGGAAAGGAUGGCUCUGAACGAAAAGCAAAUUCUACAAAAGGUCAACUCUAGGUUUGUUGUUAGUUUAGCCUAUGCAUUUGAAACCAAAGAGGCAUUAUGUUUAGUAUUGACUAUAAUGAAUGGUGGGGAUUUAAAGUUUCACAUACAUAAUAUGGGUAACCCAGGAUUCGAGGAGGAGAGAGCUAUAUUUUAUGCAGCAGAAAUCACGUGCGGGCUAGAAGAUCUCCAUCUGAAAGGGAUAGUGUAUAGAGAUUUGAAACCAGAGAACAUUUUACUGGAUGAUCAUGGUCAUGUGAGGAUAUCAGACCUGGGAUUGGCUGAAGAGGUACCAGAAGGGGAGACAAUCAAAGGCCGAGUUGGCACCGUUGGUUACAUGGCCCCAGAGGUAGUGAAGAACGAGAGAUACUCAUUUAGUCCAGACUGGUGGGGGUUAGGCUGUAUCAUUUAUGAAAUGAUCGAGGGAAAGGGACCAUUCCGGGCGCGGAAGGAGAAGGUGAAGCGCGAGGAGGUGGAUCGGAGAGUGAAGGAGGACCAAGAGGAAUACUCCUCAAAGUUCUCCGAGGACUGCCAGGACGCCUGUAAAAAGCUUCUAAACAAAGAUCCCAAGUCGCGUCUGGGAUGUGGGCCAUAUGGUGCCAAGGACGUCAAAUCGCAUCCAUUCUUCAAAACGAUUAACUUUAAGCGGUUACAGGCAGGGAAGUGUAAUCCCCCAUUUGAACCUGAUAAAAGAGCGGUGUAUUGUAAGGAUGUCUUGGACAUUGAGCAGUUUUCAACAGUGAAAGGUGUCAACCUUGAUGCAAACGAUGACUCUUUUUAUACAAAAUUUAGCACUGGCAGUGUAUCAAUACCAUGGCAGAGCGAGAUGAUAGAGAUGGAGUGCUUCAAGGAACUAAAUGUGUUCAGUGAGGACGGGGACACCCCUCCCGAUCUGAUCGAGGAACUCCCCCCUCCCCCACCCCGGGGCAGCCUCUUCAGCAGGCUCUUUCGGAGACAGAAUCGUGAGGCUCACUGACAAAGAAGAACUGGUGGUGCUAUAGGCUUCCAUUGCUAAGGAGAUUCUCCAUUGAUUCUCUAAAACAAAAUGUGGAAUGUGGCGGGAGAACCCUGUGUCUGUUUGUAUUCAGGGGCAGUAACUGUUGGUGUCUGCCAUACCACCAUGUUUUCUGUUGUUUACAUAAUGACUCAGGUUAAGAGGCUGAGACAAAAAGAGUUGCAGAGAAGAAGAAACAACAACAAAAAAAACAAUUCAACUACUGGACAAUGUUCUUUUGUCUCAUCUUUCAAAAAUCAAAAAUUGUCGACACAGACUUGAGAGAGUGAAAUUGUGGACAAUUUUUGGAGACCUGAAAUAUUUGCUCGGACUUGCCAGUAUUGUCUC